AGUCACUGACAUUAGACUACCCCCGUAGUCCAGGGUGUAAACGCUGCAGACUUGGUGUUGGAGGCCCGUUUGGGGGCAUUCAGUGCCGGAGAGAAGUUGUUAAGUCUGCUACGUUGGGGAGUACGUCCGCAAGGAUGAAACUUAAAGGAAUUGGCGGGGGAGCACCGCAACGGGAGGAGCGUGCGGUUUAAUUGGAUUCAACACCGUAAACUCACCAGGGAAGACUGUUACAUGAAGGCCGAGAUGAAGACUCUGCUAGAUUUUCAG
rnacentral:rRNA from 1 species